rnacentral:rRNA from 1 species
GACGAACGCUGGCGGCGUGCCUAAUACAUGCAAGUAGGACGCAGUUGCGAACGGGUGAGUAACGCGUAGGUAACUACCUAUUAGAGGGGGAUAACUAUUGGAAACGAUAGCUAAUACCGCAUACUAGUAGAUGGACCUGCGUUGUAUUAGCUAGGAGGUAGGGUAAUGGCCUACCUAGCCAACGAUACAUAACCGACCAGAGAGGGUGAGCGGCCACACUGGGACUGAGACACGGCCAAGCGUCGUACGGGAGGCAGCAGUAGGGAAUCUUCGGCAAUGGGGGGAACCCUGACCGAGCAACGCGGAGUGAGUGAAGAAGGUUUUCGGAUCGUAAAGCUCUGUUGGUAAGGAAGCGGUACUUAACCAGAAAAGGACGGCUAACUACGUGCCAGCAGCCGCGGUAAUUC